CGAAAAUGGAAACAGAAAACACUGAUGAUGCACAUUCAUCGUUAUUAGAGAAAAUGCGCAACAUAGGAAAGAUGUACCGACUCUUUCGGAAUCAAAACUCAAGCAAUUCUCCAACAUGGGAUAAGGAAUCAAGACAUAAAAAAGAUUAUAGACAAUCUUACCGAACAGGCCAAUAUCACCACCAUUCAGUCUCCCGUUAAGGCACUUGAGGAGCAAUAUUUUAAACCUCCUCUGAAAAAAUGCCCAAAUUGCGGCAAAAUGAAGAAAGCCGGGAGGCAGGUGGUGAAUGUCGUAGAUGCAGUACGAAGGUUCGUAUAUUUUGGGAAGCAUCCUCAACAACCUUCGAGCCAACGCUGAUGCACUUUGAGCCGGAAAGAGUAAAUUCAGGAUCGUUUUCGAAUUUUUCUACUGGUUCUGGAAGUAAAAGAACAAUAUCUUGUUCGGGUUCGUAUGCAUCUUCCUCCGUUGGUUCGAAUUAUCAAUGUACAAGUCGAAGAACAUCUACUUCGUCACGAUCUUCAGUAUAUCCUGAUUCCCCAAUCGUUUCUGGUACUCUAAAUCUACAGUGGGUCUACUAGUGGCGAUGAGCGGGAACCACAUUCGCGACACACCAUCGUGAUUGUAGAAUCAUAUCAAGCAGCAGAUCACCAUCGGAAGAUUACUCAUGUAGCUCUCGAGGAGGUCCACAUCACGUAGGAGUCAUUAUUCUAAGGUUUUUGUCGUGUGUAUUUACUUACAGAAGUUUCUUCAAUCUUACAAGUGGAUAUAAACAUAAUGCAGUAGUAAGAUGAAGAAACUUUUGUAAGUAAAUACACUGGAUUCUGUAUUUGAAUAGUUCAAUGUUAGUGUUUUCAUUCAUUUGCUUCUUUUUUGUAUUAGAAUUUCUUUUGUAAAUACACCAUUUUUGGUUGGUA